rnacentral:SRP_RNA from 1 species
GUGAUAGGUGGGGAGGUAGCGGUGCCCUGUUCCCUGAGAUCCGCUUAGCAGGGGCCAAACGCCAUUCUAGGGCAAGCAUAUGGAAGGCUGAACUUAAUGUGUAGUGAUGAUAUUAAGGUCUUAUGCAAUAAAAUUCUUAUGAACCGUGUCAGAGCCUGACGGCAGCAGCACUAAGUUUGAAAAUUAUGUGCCAUAAGGAAACUUUAAUGGAGCCAACUAUUAUAGUU